UCUCAUUGCAGCGGCUUCUCUUAUUGCAGAGCAUGGUCUCUAGGGCACAGGCUUGUCAGGCAGGCCGGACGGCUCAGUGAGGUGCAUAGCACCAGGGACCUGAGUCAUGUUUCCUGUUAGCUGGGAAGAAAAAACAGCAUUCCUUGACCAAAUUAGGAAGACUUCCCCUACACACCAACCAGAAAGAGACAGGACAUGCGCUCAUCCUGUCUAGCCAAUCAUGUAACGCCAGCUACUCCUGUAACUGAGACAAAGAACUGACUGUAUAUAAACCGCCAUAUUCCUUUGCUCGGGGUCCCUGUCGGAAUCCGCUGUGUCGGAUGAGACUUGGACCCUAGCGCGCUAGAAAUAAACUCCCUUCCUGCCUUUUUGCAUUACUGUGGAGGACUUGCUUUCUCUCGGUCGGUUCGGAGAUACGGGCUCGGUGCAUAACAGGCUCAACAGUCACGGUUCUUAUAGUUGCAGCAUUCGAUCUCGUAGUUGCAGCACGUGGAAACUAAUUUCCUGCCCAGGGAUCAGACCCGGGUGGCCUGCAUUGGGAUCAUGGAAUCUUAGCUACUGGACCACCAGAGAAGUCCCCAGACACUAUGCUCUUAAACACUAUGUGAUGAAUGUAAGGAAUCCGUGUUUGUUAAAGAAAUUGUUUAAAAUUCAGAUAAGUAAUUUAUUGUCAACAGUUUGGUUUAUGUCUUUCCAAUCAUUUCUCUGUGCAAAAUAUUUCACAUUAUAAAAAAUAUUUUAUGUAAAUGGAAUUUUAUAGACUACUUUUGUUUAAUAUAUCCUAUAUAUCUUUAAUGUCAUAAAAGGCCUUCUGUAUGAUUAUUUUAAUAGUUGCAAAGUAUCCCAUCAUAUGUGUAACCAUAAUUUAUUUGACCAGUUCCUUAUUAUUCAAUAGUUAAGAGGUUUUUUCUGUUUGUUUUUCACCAUUAGAAAUGUUUAAUGAUUCAAACGUUAAAUCUUAGCAUUCAGCCACAGUUAUUUCCUUAGAAUAAACUCCUGUACUGGAUUUGCCGGAUGAAAGGGUAUGAAAAAUGUUAAGGUAUUUGAUGCAUAUUACCAAACUUUCCUCCCAGCAGAUGAAUGGGUGUUUCUCUAUGCCUUCAUCAGCAUUAGGUUUUAGUAUUUUAAAAGACAGUUGCCAAUUUAAGAGGUCAUUGUUGUUUUAGUUUGCAUUUCUUGGCUGUCUGCUGAGUUUGAGCUUUAUGCCUGGGUAUACUGUGGGCCUGUAUCUGGAGGGCAACAGGAGAAUUUCCUCCAGCAGCUCUGCGGGUGAUAUUUCUGUCUUAGCUCCAGUCUUCUGGCACUGAAAGCCAAGUCCUAAAGAGAAUCUCUGGUCCCACUGCUUCUUUCUUGGCCAGGAUCCUAUGAGCGCUGUUCACAGAGGCAGAUGACAUCUGCAGGGAUUGCCUCAGAUCCCAGACAACUGGACUGACAAGUGCCUUUUAUAUACCCCUGUCACCGAGAAUAGGAUUGAGGGUGCCAAAGCACGCACAGGUCCCCACAGUGAUGUGGCACGGCUGGCCUGAAGUCCAGUCCGGAGCAGAAAGACCUUGUUUUGCAACCUGGUCCACCCAGGGUCUGCCUCUCCAAGACUUAGUUUCCUUACCGGUAAAAUGGGGCAAUAUGAGUAAAAUGAUCAAAUCAAGAGCCAGUUUCACAGGGAUGGAAGGAUCAUCCAAGGAGAUAAUGCUUGGAAGGUACUGAUAUGCCAAACUCAAUAAAUCAUCAUCAUUAUGAUUAUUUUUAAAAUUGUUCUUUGUGACCUUAUAUAUGACAUUACUCAUCUUUACUUUCCUCUCCCCACCCCCACCCCCAACACACACACAGCAGCUGCAAAUCAGUUUUCUUCUCUAUUUUUGGCUACCGUGGAUGGCAUAUGAGAUCUUAGUUCCCCAACUAGGGUUCAAAGCCAUGCCCCCUACAGUGGACACAUGGAGUCUUAACCACUGGACCACUGGGGAAGUUCUUCAUUAUGAUUACUGAUCAGUUGUGAGUAUCUGGAGGGUUUUGAGGGAUGUAUUUUGAGUGAAUGGGGGUCUUAGGCCUCUGAGGAGACUGAUAAAGCUCAGGGAGCUGUUGCUACAGGUAGAGGCUGAGUGAGGUUGCAUUGCCAAGGUCAGAAGGGAGCUGGUGACUUACACUUGAACCAGUGAGGUCCAAACCACUUGCAACUGGACAGUGCCAUCUGUCAUAUGCAGGGAGGGAUGGACACAAUCAUUGGGUCUGAUGGUAGGUUUUUCGCUUCCAUGCCGGGCGGCCCGGUGUGGGGGCUGCAUGCUGUGAGCACAGAGCCAGUGCUUGCUGGGCUGAACUACCGCUACUUUUUAUCACAGCAAAUUCCUUAAAUCUUGCAGACGCUCCGUUCCUUUAUCUUUAAAAUGGGGAAAUCAUUUCCACCUCAGUUGAGAGUGGUACUGAGGAUUCAAUAAUAGAUAAUGAGUGAGUCCCCAAGACUCACUCAAGUGUUAGGGUCAUUGCAGGAGCUCAGAAAAUGUUCAUUAAAUGAAAGUGGUGCCAAAAGACAGAAACAACCCAAGUACCCAUCCGCUUACGGAUUCAUAAACAAAAUGUGGUUUAUCCACACAAUGGGCUAUUAUCUAGCCUCAAAAAGGAAUGAAGUUCUAAUACAUCCUACAACAUGGAUGAACUUUGAAAAUAUUAUGCUAAGUGAAAGAAGCCAGAAACAGGAGGUCACAUAUCGUAUGAUUCCAUUUAUACGAAAUGUCCAGAAUAGACAAAUCCACAGAGACCGGAGCAGACUUGCAGUCGCAGGGCAUACGGGGUUUCCUUUUAGGGUGAUGGAAAGGUUCUGAUGAUGGUUACAUACUGUGUGCAUGUGAGCAUCAGUCGCUUCAGUCAUGUCUGACUGUCAUAACUCUCUGUGGCCCUAUGGACUCUAGUCCAUCAGGCUCCUCAGUCCAUGGGAUUCACCAGGCAAGAAUGCUGGAGUGGGCUGCCAUUUCCCUCUCCAGGUUACACAUUAUGAAUGUCCUGCUUUCACUAACAGUAAAUUUUAGGUUACGUGUGUAUUGCUACAAUUGGAAAAAAUGUUUAUUCCAACUGCCUCUUAAACUUCCUCUCCAUUCAUUCAUUCAUCCGCCCACCAUUUGCGCUGUGCCAGGAGACACGAUGUGAAGGCUUUCGCUGAGACUUAACCUCCCAUGAGAGAGAAUAUGAAGGGCAUGUAUCAAGAAGUAAGUUGUCAGGAGCAUUUCCCUGUUGUGAGCUUCUUGGAUUCCUACUUCCAAGGGCAAGUCUCAACACAUGUCUUCUCAGCUGUUCCUCUGCUCCCAGCCAAGCCAGACUUGCUUCAGAGUGGUAGGCUUCAGACCAAGUCUGAACACACUUCCAUUUGGGCCAGCCAGACCCCUCAGGGGCCAGGUCAUCAGGGAGAAGUGCUGCCUGUUGGACAAUGUUUUGAAUGAAUUGACUUAAACCCAAAUCUUCUUGGUUCUCAAGGGUCAGCCUUUCCACUCAUACAUACAGAGGUAGAGGGCAGUUUUUUCCUGGAAAGGGAACUGCUUAAAGAAAUCAACAUUAAGUCAGAGGAGACUGCUGAAACGUAGCAGUGGAUUAAUGAAAGCUUCCAAAAGGAAAGGGAAGAUUAGCCCCUACUCACUCAACCAAACUCUGGGAGUUGCUCUGUGGGCCAUCUGAGGGUCAUUCCUGGAAGCUCAGCACUGCUUUUUAUGAUUUGUCCUGCUGGGGCAGAUACUGAGGGACCUAUUCUAUUUGGUCCCAGGCUCCACUGUGAGCUCUAUUUAGGAUUCCCUAUAACUUUAAAAGGGCUUCCCUGAUGACUCAGAGGUAAAGAAUCUACCUACCAAUGCAGGAAAUGUGGGUUCAACCCCUGGGUUGGAAAGAUCCCCUGGAGAAGGAAACAGCAACCCACACCAGUAUUCUCAUCAUGGGGAAUUCCAUGGACAGAGGAGCCUGGAGGGUGAUAGUCCAUGGGGUCCCAAAAGACUUAGCAACUAAACAACACUAGCCUUCAAAAUAUUUGUUGAUUCAUUGAUUAACUGAGGCAUCGAAAAGAGUGUGAACAUAGGGUGAAGCAUCUCUGUUUUCAAGUAACAGCAGCCACUGUUUACUCAGGGCUUACCAUGAACCAGACAUGCUACACUCACCCUUCACAUUGAUACUAUCCCUAUUUUAAUACAUGAGCAACCCGAGGCUCAGAGAGGGCAGUUUACGGUCCAAGGUCACACAGCUGGGACACCUUGCUGGAGAAGAGCAGACUCAGGAUGACUUUGGAAAGCUGGCGCAUAGGGAAGAGGUUAGGCUUGUUCUGUAUGAUCCCAAAGGAACCCCUUUGGUUCUGGAUCUCCACAGCAUUUUCGUGGCCUGUGGGGUCCUAACAGAUGGAAGCGGGAGAGUUGAGGCAAAAAAUGGGACAGAAGGGUCUUCAACGAGUAGGGAUGUAGAUUCAUAUGUUGACACUGCUGGUCAUGUCAGCUUUCUGUACCUCUCUCUUCUCAUCUGUAAAAUGGGAUGUAACUGGUCAGACCAGCCCACGUUGCUUCACUCUAUCAUUCAGCAGCUCCCUACAGUUCUUGGGAUCAAGUCCAACCUCUUCUUAGCAUGGCUUGGAGGCUCCUUCAUAUUCAGGUCCUAGCUUUCCUCUCCAGCCUCCAGCCACCUCAACCAGAGCAAACUGUUUCUUGGCCCCGAACCCUUCAAGUCCUCUUCAUCCUGAAGGCCUUUUGACAUGCUGUCUCCUGGGUCACCCUGUUGAACUUUCCUGGGUGGGCAAGAAUGGGGUGGCAUCUGAGCCCAGGCACUGAGGAUUGCCAUUGUGAGCACCAUAAGAGCGCACCCAAGGGGCCUGUGAGGCCCCGCAAGUGAGCAUUACCUACUAUGUGCAUCAGAGCAGAAAGACAUGGAAAGCUUUCCAGGGAGGGCAGCACUGGUAUGGACCAGAUGCUGCGUGGCCCCGCCCACCCUCCACAUGGGAAAAGCACCUACGCUCCGCCUCACUGUAUAUUCUGGCCUCCUGCUCUGGUGGGCAGCAGCUGUUUUGGGGUAGGGGUGAGCAGGUGAAAUUCAGGUGUGUGUGUGGAGAGACGGUGAAGGGAAGGGGGAAGGUUAAGUUCCACGGUGUUCUGACCAGACAGACCUAGGCAGAGUCCACGGUAUCUAGAACUAACCACGUUAUGCCCAAGAUCUAAGCAUUAAGGGCCCCUCAGUGGGCCUGUUGGGGAAAGCCAACACAGACCUCAGCAUUCCACCAGGACUUUAAGUGGGGUUUGAAAACUCAAAUGCUCCAGGGCCUGGGUGCUGUCCUAAUGAAUGGGGUCGCACUGUGGCCUUCCUGGCCCGCUGCUUUCUCCCUUUGGAUGGCCAUGGAUUCACAGAGAGGAAUCCAUGUGUCCAAUGUGUCCACUGGAAGUAAAGCAUCAAUGCUGAUGCCAUGAUCAGUGGUGCCUUGUAUUGGAGAGACCAGAGGGAGCCCGGGCCCUGCCCUUCUCCACAGCUGCAGCCAGCUGUUGUGCCAGGGUGAGAGCCCUGCGUGACUUACCACCCCAGGGAGCAGGUGCUGUCAGGCCCCUCCCCUCUCACAUACCUUACUUUGGAAACUUGCACGGUGCUCUGGAAACUUCCAACCACUUGUAUCUUCCUUCCUUUCUGGGCCUGACAGCUUUUUUCAGAAUUCCAGAAUGUUCUGCAAGCAGAGCAAGUGCUAAGGGAAUUA
ensembl:lncRNA